rnacentral:piRNA from 1 species
UAGGCUCUUGACUGGUGUUAUUUUGUGU